GCACGUAGUUAGCCGGUGCUUCUUCUGCAGGUACCGUCAAUUUCGUCCCUGCUGAAAGCGGUUUACAACCCGAAGGCCUUCAUCCCGCACGCGGCGUCGCUGCAUCAGGGUUUCCCCCAUUGUGCAAUAUUCCCCACUGCUGCCUCCCGUAGGAGUCUGGGCCGUGUCUCAGUCCCAGUGUGGCCGGUCGCCCUCUCAGGCCGGCUACCCGUCGUCGCCUUGGUAAGCCAUUACCUCACCAACAAGCUGAUAGGCCGCGAGUCCAUCCCCCACCGAAAAAACUUUCCACCCCCCGCCAUGAGACAGGAAGUCAUAUCCGGUAUUAGACCCAGUUUCCCGGGCUUAUCCCAGAGUGAAGGGCAGGUUACUCACGUGUUACUCACCCGUUCGCCGCUCGAGUACCCCGAAGGGCCUUUCCGCUCGACUUGCAUGUGUUAAGCACGCCGCCAGCGUUCGUC
rnacentral:rRNA from 1 species